UAGGCCAAUUUCCUGGUAUGCUGUCAAGUAGGACAUGCGCGCGUUCAUGAUAAUUAUAAUACCUCAUAAUUGGCAACUAUAGUUAGUCCUACACGAGACUUAGUAAAGCUGAUUCAUCGGAUAUUGUACUAGUAAUUGAUUUUUUAAUUCCACUCAUUAUGAGCGAUAACAGAAGAUACGGAUAUUUACGGUGUUCAUCUUGCAAAGAGAAGUGGGAGAGUUCACAUGUUUACGUGAAGGAAGGAACGAAAAAGGUGGAGUUUGGACAAGAGUGUAAAAAGUGUAACAUCGUUUGUUUUCCAUAUCAUGUGGAACCAAUCCAAUGUUCUCUCUGUGGCCAAACUGGCUGUGACUGUCAAAAAGAAAGACAUAUUGAUCCA